rnacentral:rRNA from 1 species
AUGCGUGAGGAGGAGGAGGCCGCGGUCAUGGUGGCGCGACGGAGGUCGUGCCCGUCCGGCGUGCGGCACAAGGCUGCGGCGCUCUUCGUCGAGGCGGAGGUGAGUGGCUGCGGUGAUGGCAGAUGCAUGAGGAAGAGGAUGACGUGGUCAGGGCGGCGCGACGGAGUUCGUGCCCGACCGGCGCGGCACCAGGCUGCGAGGGAGAAAGAGAGAGAAAAUUGGAAAGUGAGGCCUGACAACAGAUGGGAGAGGGACAGAGGGUCACCGGCUGGCGUCGGCCUGUGCCGGCGAGGUCGCUUGCCUGGUUGCGAAGGAGGGAAAGGCGACGGGACAGGCAUCCGGGGCGGCGGCGGUGGCUGGACUCCAGGACCUGGCCGAGGUGGUUCUUGCCAAAGAAGCAGGCGGCAGCGCAAGGUAUAG